GACGAACGCUGGCGGCGUGCUUAACACAUGCAAGUCGAACGGAAAGGCCCUGCUUUUGUGGGGUGCUCGAGUGGCGAACGGGUGAGUAACACGUGAGUAACCUGCCCUUGACUUUGGGAUAACUUCAGGAAACUGGGGCUAAUACCGGAUAGGAGCUCCUGCUGCAUGGUGGGGGUUGGAAAGUUUCGGCGGUUGGGGAUGGACUCGCGGCUUAUCAGCUUGUUGGUGGGGUAGUGGCUUACCAAGGCUUUGACGGGUAGCCGGCCUGAGAGGGUGACCGGCCACAUUGGGACUGAGAUACGGCCCAGACUCCUACGGGAGGCAGCAGUGGGGAAUAUUGCACAAUGGGCGGAAGCCUGAUGCAGCAACGCCGCGUGCGGGAUGACGGCCUUCGGGUUGUAAACCGCUUUCGCCUGUGACGAAGCGUGAGUGACGGUAAUGGGUAAAGAAGCACCGGCUAACUACGUGCCAGCAGCCGCGGUGAUACGUAGGGUGCGAGCGUUGUCCGGAUUUAUUGGGCGUAAAGGGCUCGUAGGUGGUUGAUCGCGUCGGAAGUGUAAUCUUGGGGCUUAACCCUGAGCGUGCUUUCGAUACGGGUUGACUUGAGGAAGGUAGGGGAGAAUGGAAUUCCUGGUGGAGCGGUGGAAUGCGCAGAUAUCAGGAGGAACACCAGUGGCGAAGGCGGUUCUCUGGGCCUUUCCUGACGCUGAGGAGCGAAAGCGUGGGGAGCGAACAGGCUUAGAUACACUGGUAGUCCACGCUGUAAACGGUGGGUACUAGGUGUGGGGUCCAUUCCACGGGUUCCGUGCCGUAGCUAACGCUUUAAGUACCCCGCCUGGGGAGUACGGCCGUAAGGCUAAAACUCAAAGGAAUUGACGGGGCCCCGCACAAGCGGCGGAGCAUGCGGAUUAAUUCGAUGCAACGCGUAGAACCUUACCUGGGUUUGACAUGGAUCGGGAGUGCUCAGAGAUGGGUGUGCCUCUUUUGGGGUCGGUUCACAGGUGGUGCAUGGCUGUCGUCAGCUCGUGUCGUGAGAUGUUGGGUUAAGUCCCGCAACGAGCGCAACCCUUGUUCACUGUUGCCAGCACGUUAUGGUGGGGACUCAGUGGAGACCGCCGGGGUCAACUCGGAGGAAGGUGGGGAUGACGUCAAGUCAUCAUGCCCCUUAUGUCCAGGGCUUCACGCAUGCUACAAUGGCUGGUACAGAGAGUGGCGAGCCUGUGAGGGUGAGCGAAUCUCGGAAAGCCGGUCUCAGUUCGGAUUGGGGUCUGCAACUCGACCUCAUGAAGUCGGAGUCGCUAGUAAUCGCAGAUCAGCAACGCUGCGGUGAAUACGUUCCCGGG
rnacentral:rRNA from 1 species